AAAUAUCAGCUUCGAGUACCGGGAAAGGGAAGCCGUCCUCUUUCCUUCACAUCGGCACUGCCAAGUCGAUCAAGCAGAGCGAUGAAGCCAGUGAUCUUCUUUACAGGGAUUACCAGACGGAUCACAAGUUCACCGUCAAGACGUACACAUCCAACGGAGUCGUGAGCAAUCAUUCUCUUUUCUUGGGGGAAUGUUACCUCGGCCAGUGGAUCUGAAAUAACAAGAAGCAGCAUACAUGGGAUAUCUAACUUGUGGCCAUCAGUAUAAUUUUGUUACUUUCUUUUGGUGAUUAAUGUUUUCUGUUGGACUUCAUCAGCUUGUCAGGUGAAUGAUGGUAGUUUGGCUACAAAACAUAGGCUCUGCAGCAGCCAUAGGAGGUGUCUAUUAUACUACCGUGUUUAGUUGUCAAAAGCAUUGCAUCAAGUAUAAUUCGGACGGCUUCUUAUUUUACAUGUUCAUGCCCUUAUUAUGUGAAAAUUCCUUGCUUAUUUGUGGCAACAAUUAAUGUAAUUUCCAAUAUUGGUUGAUGAACUGAACAGUAGAUCUGAA